rnacentral:rRNA from 1 species
GUUGGGAUCCUUGAGAUCUUAGUGGCGCAGCUAACGCGAUAAGUCGACCGCCUGGGGAGUACGGCCGCAAGGUUAAAACUCAAAUGAAUUGACGGGGGCCCGCACAAGCGGUGGAGCAUGUGGUUUAAUUCGAAGCAACGCGAAGAACCUUACCUGGCCUUGACAUGCUGAGAACUUUCCAGAGAUGGAUUGGUGCCUUCGGGAACUCAAACACAGGUGCU